UACAUACAACCCUACAUAGUACAACUACAUACUACAUGCUACAUACAAAUUACAAACAUACAAAAGAUCUUGCAUACAAGAAAAUGUAAAACUUUCAAAAUAAAUGAAUAGAAAAUGGAAUUUUUGCAUAUAAGAAACAAAAUAAUGUUAAAAAAAACAAUCUUACAUCUUACAACAAGCUUGAAAUGAGCUGCAAACUCUUCCUAUCCAACUCUUGAUGCACCAAAUCGAAACACAAUGCAGCUCCAAUGUGACAAAUUGAAGAAAACUUGAGAUUCCUCCUUGCUGGUUUUUCUUCUAUGCACCCUUGUUUUUCUUCCCAACUCACUUUACUCUUCCUUUUUUUGCAAGUGAAUGAAAUGAAAGUCACUUUUAGGGCUAGAAGACAAUUAACAUUAAAAAACGGAUUUAAAAAAACUUUACAAACUAUUUUUUUUUUGACUUUUUAUUUGUUGCCAACGCCGGCCGAGUCCAGGGCUCGGGACUCGCCGAGUUUGGCGAUUUUGGGCCAAAAUCGCCAACUCGGCGAGUCUGGCGAGUUUACUCUCCAGACUCGGCGGAGUCCGAGUUCGAGCCCUUGGGACUCGUUUGGCCUGACUCGGACUCGGACUUGCCGAGUUUGGGCGAUUUCAGGUGAGUCUCGUUUCUCUGCAUACAGAUGUGGGGGCAUCUAGUUCUUCCCUUGGGCCACGGAUACGAGGAAUGGGAAGUGUGGGCAGCCAUAUGGAAAACUACUUUGUUCCACGUAACACUCCUGGUGCACAACCUGGAUUGCUAGGCACUGCAUGGAAUAAAGAGGCUCACCAACAAGCAAAGGUGGCAUGUGCUAGAUUUUGGAUCUACAUCGAUAUUCCGUUCAAUGUUGUUUCUAGUCCAUCUUGGGACCAAUUGGUCACCACAUUGUCUGUGGCAGGUAAGGGGUUCAAGUCCCCAAGUCGUUAUGAGAUUAGUGGACCGUUAUUGCAAGAUGAGGUCCAAAACACUGACGCAUUAGUGGAAGAGCAAAGGAGUAUUUGGGAAAAGAAUGGCUGCACCAUUCUUUCAGAUGGGUGGACGGAUGGUAGGAAUAGGACACUCAUCAACUUUCUAGCUUCUUCAGGGGGAUAACUAGUAUUUUUAAAAUCAAUUGAUGCCUCCAAUGAAGUGAAGAAUGCAGAGACCUUGUGCAACAUGUUGGAUGAGGUGGUGAUGGACGUGGGAGUGCAAAAUGUCAUACAGGUUGUGACUGAUAAUGCAGCUGCAUAUGUGGCAGCCGACAAACUUCUAAUGGCUAGACAUCCGACAUUAUUUUGGAGCCCUUGUGCUGCCCAUUGUCUUGACUUGCUCCUUGAGGACAUAGGGAAACUAAGUUGGGUAAAGAAAGUGGUUGAAGAUGGAAGGAAUAUCACCAAAUACAUCUACAAUCACACAUGGGUCCUUAAUCUUAUGAGAGAGCACACUAAUGGUAAGGAUCUUGUGCGAUCGGGGGUCACACGCUUUGCUAUCAAUUUCCUCACCUUGCAGAGCAUACUUGCUACAUUGCCCAACUUGAAGCGGAUGUUCGUGAGUGAAAGAUGGCUGGGGAGUUCUUAUGCUACAAAGCCUGAAGCAGAGAAGGUUGUGGUUUCCAUUUUUGAUUCUAAUUUUGCCAAGAUGGUGGAGGAGAUCAUCAAUGUGUCGGAACCGUUGGUGAGGGUGCUACAAAUGGUGGAUGGGGAUCAUAACUCCAUGGGGUAUCUAUAUGAGGCCAUGGAUAAGGCCAAAGAGGCGAUUCAACACUUAUAUGCAUCAAACAAGACCAAGUAUGAACCCAUAUGGCGCAUAAUUGAUUGGAGGUGGAACCAUUAACUCCACCAACAUAUUCAUGCUGCUGCCUACUUCUUGAAUCCCAAGUUUUUUUUACUCCCUGAGUUUCAGAGUAGAUGCAGAGGUUAGAAUUGGCCUUGACACAUGCAUACGAAGAUUAGUUGAUGAUGAGAACCUUCGAGACCUGAUACUUGAUGAGUUGCAGAGCUAUAAGAAGGCCACAGGGCCAUUGUUUUCUUCACUUGAUUGCAAACGUAGGAGAGACACCUUACGACCAGAUUUGUGGUGGGAAGAUUAUGGUGCCACAGCGCCUAAUCUUCAGAAGCUUGCCAUCCGCAUAUUAUCGCAGCCUUGUAGUGCUUUUGGUUGUGAGCGCAACUGGAGUGUUUUUGAGGCCAUCCAUACAAAAAAGCGCAAUAGGGUGACUCAACAACGCUUGAAUGAUCUUGUCUAUGUGCGAUACAACAUUCGAUUGCAUGAGAAGAAGGUGCAAGGGCAAGAUUGACAUGAAGCACUUGACUUGGAUGACAUUGAUCCAUAUGCAGCAGAAUGGGUUGCUGCUCCUGAUGAUGUUGAUAAUGAUUUGGAUCCAUUCCUUACUGAUGAGCAGCUAAGUGAGCUAGAGAGGGCAGGAGAGGAAUGGGAUGCGGAAGUGGCAGCACGUGAGGAGGAGCAUGAGGUUGAUCAUGCAGCAGAGGCACCUGUUGAGGAUGUUGCCACUACUUUAGCAUUACCCCCCCAGCAACAACACUCUUUUUUGAGCUUUAGUCAUAGGCGCAAUUUAUGAUUUCUCAUUUUCAUUGAUACCAAAACUUGAACUUGAUAUGUAAUUAGAAUUUCAG